rnacentral:misc_RNA from 1 species
AUGAAGAACGUAGCGAAAUGCGAUACUUGGUGUGAAUUGCAGAAUCCCGUGAACCAUCGAGUCUUUGAACGCAAGUUGCGCCCGAAGCCAUUAGGCCGAGGGCACGCCUGCCUGGGCGUCACACGUCGUUGCCCCCCCAUCUACUCCUUCGGGAUUGCGGGGGGCGGAUGAUGGCCUCUCGUGCGCCUCGUCGCGCGGUUGGCCUAAAUGCCAAGUCCUCGGCGACGCACGCCACGACAAUCGGUGGUUGCGAAACCUCGGUUGCCUGUCGUGUGCGGUCGUCGCGCAUCGAGGGCUCGAAAAAAUUGCCGGGCUUCGGCUCGACUUUCAACGCGACCCCAGGUCAGGCGGGGUUACCCGCUGAAUUUAAGCAUAUCAAUAAGCGGAGGA